rnacentral:piRNA from 1 species
UAGGAUCGAAGGACCCCUGGAUUCU